rnacentral:tRNA from 1 species
UCCUGUGUGGCUCAGUUGGUAGAGCAUGGCACUUGCAAUGCCAGGGUUGUGGGAUCAAUCCCUGAGGGGAA